GACGAACCGUCCAAACGUUAUUCGGAAUUACUGGGCUUAAAGGGUGCGUAGGCGGCGCGGAAAGUUGGGUGUGAAAUCCCUCGGCUCAACCGAGGAACUGCGCCCAAAACUACUGUGCUCGAGGGAGGUAGAGGUGAGCGGAACUUAGGGUGGAGCGGUGAAAUGCGUUGAUAUCCUAAGGAACACCGGUGGCGAAAGCGGCUCACUGGACCUCUUCUGACGCUGAGGCACGAAAGCUAGGGUAGCAAACGGG
rnacentral:rRNA from 1 species